rnacentral:misc_RNA from 1 species
UCAGCUAGAGCGUUAAGAAGCACAAACUAAACAAAAUAAAAGUGGGUAUUCUUGAAAUUGAGCAAGUAGAGUGCUUACGUGGCAAAUAGCAGCAUGGGUGUUAAGGAAGCAUUUCUGGUAAUGUUAGCAGUGUGUUCCAUGUUCGUUGUUGUUCCUCAUGUAUAUGCAAAGAUAUCAUGCGAGCAAGUGACGUUGCUACUGACUCCAUGCAUCCCCUAUGGUGUAUUUGGAGGGGACGUGCCACCAGCUUGUUGUUCAGGAAUCAAAGAAUCGCUUGCACUUGCCAAUACGACAGAAGAUCU